rnacentral:rRNA from 1 species
UACGAGGGGGGCAAGCGUUGUUCGGAAUGACUGGGCGUAAAGGGCGCGUAGGCGGAUUGUACAGUCAGGUGUGAAAUUCCCGGGCUCAACCUGGGGGCUGCGCUUGAGAUGUGCGAUCUUGAGUGGGGAAGAGGGUCGUGGAAUUCCCAGUGUAGAGGUGAAAUUCGUAGAUAUUGGGAAGAACACCGGUGGCGAAGGCGGCGACCUGGUCCUUGACUGACGCUGAGGCGCGAAAGCGUGGGGAGCAAACAGG